rnacentral:misc_RNA from 1 species
UGUGGGAGCGGGCUUGCCCGCGAUGGCGUCCUGUCAGAUAACAAUGAAGUCGGCUGUCAGGCCCUCAUCGCGGGCAAGCCCGCUCCCACU